rnacentral:snRNA from 1 species
AUACUUACCUGGCAUAGGGGUUACCGUGAUCAACAAGGCGGUUCCCCCAGGGCGAGGCUCUUCCAUUGCACUCUGGGAAGGGUUGACCCCUGCGAUUAUCCCUCAUGUGGAUAACUCGUAUGCGAAAUUUUUGAUAGCCGGGAAGUGCGUCCGCGCACAUCCCGA